rnacentral:rRNA from 1 species
CAAUCAAACCGGGAGAUAGCUGGUUCUCCCCGAAAGCUAUUUAGGUAGCGCCUCGUGAAUUCAUCUCCGGGGGUAGAGCACUGUUUCGGCUAGGGGGCCAUCCCGGCUUACCAACCCGAUGCAAACUGCGAAUACCGGAGAAUGUUAUCACGGGAGACACACGGCGGGUGCUAACGUCCGUCGUGAAGAGGGAAACAACCCAGACCGCCAGCUAAGGUCCCAAAGUCAUGGUUAAGUGGGAAACGAUGUGGGAAGGCCCAGACAGCCAGGAUGUUGGCUUAGAAGCAGCCAUCAUUUAAAGAAAGCGUAAUAGCUCACUGGUCGAGUCGGCCUGCGCGGAAGAUGUAACGGGGCUAAACCAUGCACCGAAGCUGCGGCAGCGAACGUAUCACCCAAGACAACUUUACGGAGUUGACGAUUGACGGAGCGAAGCGACGUCAAAGCGUUCAUUAAAGUCGAGUUGGCUUAGGGAUACGUUCGUUGGGUAGGGGAGCGUUCUGUAAGCCUGUGAAGGUGUGUCGUGAGGCAUGCUGGAGGUAUCAGAAG